UCCAACCUGGAAAGAAAGAUUAAAAAAAAAAACCAUAAACGAAAAAAGGCAAAGUAAAAUUCUCCUUUUCCAUCACCAAGUAUAGUAGCUGCUAGUAAGGUUUAUCACCAAGAUUGAUGAGUAACUUUCAAAUAGUGGAUUCAAAACCAGGUGGAAGGUAUAUUCUAACGAUAAACUCCUUUGCCUGCUAAUG